GUGCCAGACUCCUACGGGAGGCAGCAGUGAGGGAUAUUGGGCAAUGGGGGAAACCCUGACCCAGCGACGCCGCGUGAGGGAAGACGGUCUUCGGAUUGUAAACCUCUGUCUUUGGGGACGAAAAAGGACGGUACCCAAGGAGGAAGCACCGGCUAACUCCGUGCCAGCAGCCGCGGUAAUACGGAGGGUGCGAGCGUUAAUCGGAAUUACUGGGCGUAAAGCGCUCGUAGGCGGUAUGUCAAGUCAGGGGUGAAAUCCCCGCGCUCAACGUGGGAACUGCCUUUGAAACUGGCAAACUGGAGUGUGUGAGAGGAUAGUGGAAUUCCAGGUGUAGGAGUGAAAUCCGUAGAUAUCUGGAGGAACAUCAGUGGCGAAGGCGACUAUCUGGCACAUAACUGACGCUGAGGAGCGAAAGCGUGGGUAGCAAACAGGAUUAGAUACCCCUGUAA
rnacentral:rRNA from 1 species